AAGCAACUAACUUGGGAGCGGGGACUCAGCCCUCCUGACAGAGUCGGAGGCUAACCGCAGUUUCCAAGCCCAUGGGUGCCGGCCGGCCAUUUGGAGGCGCGCCCUUGAGUCUGUUUGUCCUCUCCCCGUGGUUCCUCAGAAGAGGCUCUGUCUGCGAUCCAAAUGUGGUCGGCCUAUGAGAGAGGCGCUCCCGGGGCCUGAGCGAGCUGCUCACUCGCCCUGUGUCAGCGCUGAUGUUGUGGGAGAGGGAACACCGUCGCCUUUGGACGGCCUUGGCCAUGGCUGUCCAACUGGACUCGGUCUGGGGAGCCAGGUUCUUCCCGUGAUUGGGUGAGGAGGCUCCUGGGAAAUGCUCUGGUCCAACUACAUUUUGGUAGGGCAUCACCGUUUACACGGAAUUACUCACAGCCACCCUUAAUCUCUGUUUUCCAUGAGGAAACUGAGGCUCGGCGAUGGUAAGGCGAUUGCCCAAGGUCAUUCCGCUCGAGAGCAGUCAGGUACGGAUUAAGCUCCGUACCUUCUGAGUCCUAAUACUUUUUUGUACUACUCUGUGAGAUGUAUUUUUUAGGACUUAGUGUGAUACUUGUCAGGAUUAGACAAGAUGCUUUUUACUCUGCUUCUGGGUUUUGCAGAAAUCCCUGUUCUGAACAGUGAUAUCCAGCAUCUCGCUUUGUUGGGCUUUGGGUCGGAUCCUCAGUUUGCUACCCAAGGACUGUGCGUCCUGGGUCGUGUUUGCACAACAUCGCUGAGUUUAGACUCCUUGAAUGUGAGAUGGAGACAGUCAUCUCUGAGAAGAGCUCGCCGAUCCGCUGUGAGGUCUGAGUGACGUAAGGUAAUUAGGAGCCCAGAGUGGUCGUGGUGAUGGUGGCUGUCAGUGCAAAGAGACUUAUUCCGAAACAUGUUGGACACAAUAAACAGCUUUUCAAAAUCUCCUCUUCAGAUGAGUUCCUAAUUCACUGCUCUCCUCUCUUCUAAGACGUCAGCUCAUCUUCCCAAAAUUAACUUGAAAAGUUGCUGGUUGUACUGUUUUGUAAAGAUGCUUCUGAGUUGGUAAACUCCCUUGUCUAAAGCAGCCAUAGAAGGGUUGUCAUGUGCCAGAUACGAAACAUCCGACGCCGGCAACAUGCAGUCAGAUGACAGAGUCUCACGCUUGUCCACAAGAGCAUGGUUUCUCGAGGAGGACUAGAAACCGUGUGCACAGGGUUGGGGUCAUUUUCAGUUGAUGGCACAGCAUUCUUUCUCUCUGGGAGAGAGACAUUUGUUGAGUGAGUGCCUGAGCACUGGUGUUCAGAGAAUUUGUACUUGGUAAAUUCAUGCAUGCAUGCUGACCAGGUUCAUAGGAUAAGUGGAGACUUUUUUUUCUUUCUUUUUAGGGCCGCACCUGAGACAUAUGGAAGUUCCCAGGCUAGGGGUCAAAUCGGAGCUAUUGCUGCCGGCCUACACCACAGCUACAGCAAAGCCAGAUCCUUAACCCACUGAGCAAGGCCAAGGAUUGAAUCCGCAUCCUCCUGGAUCCUAAUCAGGUGUGCUAACUGCUGAGCCAUGAAGGGAACACCCAAGUGGAGACUAUUCAUAGCAGCUUUUGCACUUUGGAGAAAAUGAAUGUCAGGCCAAACCACGGGCUGUGCUCUUCAAAGGAGGGUAGACCGGAGAUGGGAGGACAGGAGGCAUCUUGUGUGCAGCGACAGGACUGUGACACUGCCCCCCCCACCCCCAGCUGUCAGGGGGAUGGAAAAGCUAAGUCGUUGCCUGUGAAUGGGGGGUAAGUCCACGAAGACAUAGAUCCAGUGGAAGGGGGGGAGGUGAGAUACAAAGUCACCUGUGGAAAAAGGAAUAGAGGUAUGGUUCACCUAGGAGACGCUUGUUCUUGGUGGUAACAUAAACUGACCCCCCCAAAGGUACACAUGCUCUAGACCUGGGGUCCCUCUAGUGCAGUGAGUGUCUCCGAGGGGUCUUGAUUAUGUUGACUCAGGGAACUCUAAGAAGCCAGGCCACCCUGGUCCUAGGGGUAAGAAGCCUACUAGAAACGGUGAUAGAACUGUUGGCUUGAUCUUCAGGGACUGGAUGUAAGGGAUUGACAAUGAGGCUGUACCAGCCCUGAGUAUGGAAGAGAAGGAAGGAGGAAGAGGGACUUUCUCUGGCAAGCUAGGAAUUUCUCUUGGACCAGUCAAGCAGGUUGAAGGAUAUGAGUACCUUCAAAUCCGCGUCAGUGAAAAAUGCUUUGGGUCUGGUCUUUUUUCUGCAGCACUUAAGAGACCUGAGUUCAUACAUCUCAAAUAUGGAGAAAGUUAAUCAUUAAAGAUGCAAGAGAAAAAAAGAUAAGUCAAGACGUCAGAGCAGUGGUGCUCAGCAGGGAAGGGAGGGAGGCGUCUUUGCACCUGACCUCCUUCCAGGGGGCCUUUGCCGUUGGAGGUUGUCACAGCUUGGUGGGGGGAGGGUGAGACCCGAAUCUCCCAGAGAUGCUGUUAAAUAUCCUACAAGGGACAAGACAGCUCUUCACCCAACAAAGAAUUAUUUGGCCCCAAAUGUCAGUCGUGCGGAUGUUGAGAAACUCUGGUUUAGAGUUAUCCUCCUUUAUACAAGGUAUAUCAACCAUUAAACAAUGUUAACUACUUGAAUAAUAAUAAUAAAAAAAAAACCCACAGGUGAGAACAGAGGCUUAUGCUAGAAACAGAAUAAGUCAUGUGAUUAAGAAAAUCAGUGUGAAUCAAGUCUUAGCUUUUCUUCACAAAUCUCUUAACCAUAUUUUCAAAGAUGAAGUAAGAAUAAUGUUCUUAUUAGAGUUGAUUUACAACGUUGUGCCAUUUUCUGCUGUACAGCAAAGUGACCCAGCCAUACGUAAAUACACAUUUUUUUCUCAUAUCAUCCCCCAUCAUGUUCUAUCCUAGGAGACUGGACAUCCCCCCAUCACAUUCUAUCCCAGGAACAGUAGGACCUCCUUGCCCAUCCACUUUAUUAUUAUUAUUAUUAUUAUUUUGCUUUUUAGGGCUGCACCUGUGGCAUGUGGAGGUUCUCAGGCUAGGAGUCGAAAGGGAGCUGUAGCUGCUGGUCUACACCACAGCCGCAGCAACGCCAGAUCCUUAACCCACUGAGCAAGGCCGGGGAUUGAAACUGCAAGCUCAUGGUUACUAGUUGGAUUCGUUUCUGCUGCACCACGAGGGGAACUCUGCCCAUCCAUUUGAAAUGUGAUCUACUGACCCCAAACAACGCACCCCAAACUCCCAGUCCAUCCCACUCCUCACCCCCUCCCCCUUGGCAACCACAAGUCUGUUCUUUAUGUUGAAGUAAGAACAACUUAAUAGUUGUAAAUCAACUGUACUUCAAUAAAAGAGAAUAAUUUAAUAAAACCAUAUUUUUAGAAAGCUAUACAAAUUUUUAUAAUGACAUUGUUACAACGUUUGGACAUACGUGCUAUUAUUCUUUAUGGUUUUUAAAUCACAUGACUUGCCUCAUUUAAUGUUUAUAAUUUGGUAUAAUUAUCUCAACGUUAUAGACUUCGAGAGGGUAAACUGUAAUAUUUUCUGGACAUCUGCUAUAUCAGGCACUGUGUCCAGCGCUGUGGUUGUUACCCAGACAGAUAAAAGCUUAGUCUUGAGAAGCUCACAAUCUCCUAGGGAACAGGGAAACAUGAUGCAUGUAAUAACAGAAAUAUAAACAUAGCCACGGGAGAACGGGGGAGGGAAGUGACUAAAGUCAUUUGCCUGAGGUUACAAAACCAGUAAUUGGCAGUUCUGGGACUUGUCUUAAGGCCUCCGAAGUCUCAAGUAAGUCCUCUUUCUUGGCAUAGCAAAAUAACCCCCUUCGCUCUUCCAGAGAUGUAAAAACCAAACCGAGGAACCUCACUCAAAGCCCAUCCAUACAUUACCCAGUGGGCAGAAGUAUAGAGACAUGGUUGCCAGGGCAGCCAGGAGAAGACUAUUCAAAGGGAAGACAAGUCCUAGCAGAACCGAAAAACAAAGAGGCUGCUGGCUUCCACCCCCGCCCUGGGCUGUUCCUGAAGUUCCUAAUUAUUUUAGGACCCACGGCCCAGGAGGAUCUGACUUUGAGUUGGAGGAGCAGGAAAUAGAAACCUCUUGCGGUUGGGCCAAGGCCAGUCACGGUCACGAGGUGCCGAGUUCCCGCUCGCCCCCCUGGCAGCAGGAGUAGGAGGCCUCGGCGAGGCUGGGGAGUGGGAGGAGCGGCCUGGAGGAAGGCAGGCAGGCGCAGGGGCUCCUGGAGGAUGGACUUCCCCUGGUCAGCGCCCCCCACCUCCAUCCCUCCCCCAAAUCUGGAUGGAAAAAUGUGACGCCCCAGUUGGCUCGCAGUUACUCAUUCUGAUGGACAAACAAGAAGCUGCCUCCGUGAAACCUCAUUUCGCAGCUGUUCGCUUCCACCUCCACCUCCCCGGAUUCGUGCCUGCUGCCACCUGGCCUUGCUUAGCCGGCCUCGAAGCCUGGGGACCAAGUCCCCUCCCUUUGUCCUGAAAGGCAGAGACAGCGUGAUGGGACCCGUGCCAGUGACACAAAGUACUCUGUCCACUCAGGCCAGGGCUUUGCCUGUGCCCUGUGACCACAGAAUCUUGAUGUCCUGGGCCGCUACUGCCUCCUCCUCCACGUCUUUGUCCCCGGGGCUGAGUUACCCCCGGCUCCACCGUGGCCGAAGCUCAUUGAACCGGAGUGAAUCCCCGGCCUGACUGGGCCAGUCACAUCUUCCCCUGGGAGUUUGGAGAGAGCGGCCCAGAGACGCGCAGAACAGUCCCACUGCUGGCUGGUCACCUUUGCUCCGUAGUGAAAUUGCCCUGGGCUUUUGAAAACACAAAGGCACGCGCAUCCGAUCUGUGUUAGCGCCUGCUCUGUAGCGCCCCCUAGUGCAGCCAGGAGGGGCCGUUCGGGGACCCGCAGUCACCCAGGAGGAGGCCGUGACCUUCGGGGUGGAGUUGGAUUUGGAAUGAGAGACCCUCGCUGGAUCUGGAAAGUAUAGGUGGUGAUCUGAACCCAGGACAGCCUACUGCUUCUGGAUUCCAAGCCUCCUCCUGCCCUUGAAUCUUCCCUUUAAAAUGUUUCUUCUGGUAUUUGUCUUUGUCUUUCUGGCUCUGGCUGCGGGCAGGGGGAGAGCCUGCGCCUUGAGGCGCUGCAUCCUGGGGCUGGGGCUGGAGGGUGACCCAAACAGAGCCCUGUCCUCCCGUUCCCUGGGGCCCUUAGGCCAGCAAUGUCCAGGAGCCCAUGGCUGUGGGCUGGAGGGAGAAACUCGGGGUGCACUGAAUUUGGAACCAGAGUGCAGCUUGAUGUGGGUAUGCUGGGGAGCCUGAAACUAGAUGGGCUUCCACCCCAACCAGGGGUCCCCCACGAGCUGCUAUGCCAUUCCGCUGGGUUGUGAAGCCCACUGCUGGCAGGUGGUGGCUCGGCGGCAGCCAGCAUUUCUAAUAUCUCAACAAUAAUUUACUCAAAGAAAAGCUUCUGGGAGACACGCAGAAUCUCCCUGAAGUGGCUGCAGACCUUAAGAGCAGAAGGGAAGAUCCUGGGUGCAGCAAACUUUAGAGCGAUAGCAAUGCAUGUGGGUUACUUAACUGUGGGAAGGAGAGUUCCUGAUCAUGGCAGCACUGUGGUCCAGACUCGGUCCAGACAAGUUGAACUUGGGCGAGAGAAUAGCAACGGUAAAGCAAGGUGGCUUGAGGAAGGGAGGUGUCUUAUGGGAAGCAGUGGGUUGCAAGGGACUGCAGUGGGGUGCAGAGGUCUGGGGCUGAGGCCUUGCUGACUGAUGAGGGCUGCGGGCUCUCCGUUUUCACACGCAGGAAAAAAAAAAAGAUCUCCAGUAUUUUGCGCGUGGACGUGUUUGACACCUAGGGUACAUUCAUUCAUUUAUUCAUUCUAUAAAGAUAUUGGGCACUUGCCGUGUGCCAGGCAGCAUGCCAGGCGCUGGGGACACAGGUGAGCAGGUAGGUGUGGUCUCUGUCCUCAGGGGGCCUGCAUUCUCCCGGAAGAUGCCAAAUGUUGUUAGAUCUGCAACUUUCACUGCCUGCCCCUUACUCGCGGGACCUCUUUCCCGUGGAAUGGGCUCUAGCCAGUACUUGUAAACACUGUGAGCAGAAAAAGGCAGAGUGAGAAUGCCACAUGUGAGGACAGACAGGAUAGUAAAACCGACCUGGCCGUGGCCGUCUUUGCCAGCCUGAGGGAUUUGUGGGAAAGCUAAAGAGGUCCCACAAUAAAGCCAUGAAAGGAUUACAGCCUCCUCUCAGACCUUUCCAAAUAAACCGUAAGUCUUUUUCCAGGCCUGCAACAGCAAAGCUAGUCACACCAGCAUUUUAACCAUUCUUCCGACAUCAGCAGGAUAUUUGACAGGCCAUUUCUAGAGCCUGCCUAGAAGCUUGGCAAAGAAGACCGU
rnacentral:lncRNA from 1 species